CAGUAGCCGCGGUAAUACGAAGGUCCCGAGCGUUGUUCGGAAUCACUGGGCGUAAAGGGAGCGUAGGCGGCGUGGUAAGUCAGAUGUGAAAUCCCGGGGCUCAACCCCGGAUCUGCAUCCGAUACUGCCAUGCUAGAGGAUUGGAGAGGUAGCUGGAAUUCUUGGUGUAGCAGUGAAAUGCGUGGAGAUCAAGAGGAACACUCGUGGCGAAAGCGAGCUACUGGACAAUAACUGACGCUGAGGCUCGAAGGCCAGGGUAGCGAAAGGGAUUAGAUACCCCAGUAGUCCCUGUCUCUUAUAC
rnacentral:rRNA from 1 species